UUGAACGCUGGCGGCAGGCCUAACACAUGCAAGUCGAACGGUAACAGGAAACAGCUUGCUGUUUCGCUGACGAGUGGCGGACGGGUGAGUAAUGUCUGGGAAACUGCCUGAUGGAGGGGGAUAACUACUGGAAACGGUAGCUAAUACCGCAUAACGUCGCAAGACCAAAGAGGGGGACCUUCGGGCCUCUUGCCAUCGGAUGUGCCCAGAUGGGAUUAGCUUGUUGGUGGGGUAACGGCUCACCAAGGCGACGAUCCCUAGCUGGUCUGAGAGGAUGACCAGCCACACUGGAACUGAGACACGGUCCAGACUCCUACGGGAGGCAGCAGUGGGGAAUAUUGCACAAUGGGCGCAAGCCUGAUGCAGCCAUGCCGCGUGUAUGAAGAAGGCCUUCGGGUUGUAAAGUACUUUCAGCGGGGAGGAAGGGAGUAAAGUUAAUACCUUUGCUCAUUGACGUUACCCGCAGAAGAAGCACCGGCUAACUCCGUGCCAGCAGCCGCGGUAAUACGGAGGGUGCAAGCGUUAAUCGGAAUUACUGGGCGUAAAGCGCACGCAGGCGGUUUGUUAAGUCAGAUGUGAAAUCCCCGGGCUCAACCUGGGAACUGCAUCUGAUACUGGCAAGCUUGAGUCUCGUAGAGGGGGGUAGAAUUCCAGGUGUAGCGGUGAAAUGCGUAGAGAUCUGGAGGAAUACCGGUGGCGAAGGCGGCCCCCUGGACGAAGACUGACGCUCAGGUGCGAAAGCGUGGGGAGCAAACAGGAUUAGAUACCCUGGUAGUCCACGCCGUAAACGAUGUCGACUUGGAGGUUGUGCCCUUGAGGCGUGGCUUCCGGAGCUAACGCGUUAAGUCGACCGCCUGGGGAGUACGGCCGCAAGGUUAAAACUCAAAUGAAUUGACGGGGGCCCGCACAAGCGGUGGAGCAUGUGGUUUAAUUCGAUGCAACGCGAAGAACCUUACCUGGUCUUGACAUCCACGGAAGUUUUCAGAGAUGAGAAUGUGCCUUCGGGAACCGUGAGACAGGUGCUGCAUGGCUGUCGUCAGCUCGUGUUGUGAAAUGUUGGGUUAAGUCCCGCAACGAGCGCAACCCUUAUCCUUUGUUGCCAGCGGUCCGGCCGGGAACUCAAAGGAGACUGCCAGUGAUAAACUGGAGGAAGGUGGGGAUGACGUCAAGUCAUCAUGGCCCUUACGACCAGGGCUACACACGUGCUACAAUGGCGCAUACAAAGAGAAGCGACCUCGCGAGAGCAAGCGGACCUCAUAAAGUGCGUCGUAGUCCGGAUUGGAGUCUGCAACUCGACUCCAUGAAGUCGGAAUCGCUAGUAAUCGUAGAUCAGAAUGCUACGGUGAAUACGUUCCCGGGCCUUGUACACACCGCCCGUCACACCAUGGGAGUGGGUUGCAAAAGAAGUAGGUAGCUUAACCUUCGGGAGGGCGCUUACCACUUUGUGAUUCAUGACUGGGGUG
rnacentral:rRNA from 1 species